ACGGUUAUAGAUCAAGGCAUUGAUUUAUAAGCAUGGAAAUCCCCUGAGUGAAACAACGAAUUGCUGUGUGUAGUCUUUGCCCAUCUCCCACGAUGGGCUUUUUUUUUA
rnacentral:other from 2 species